CCUGCACUCUGAAGGUGGGCACAUGCUCUCCUCUCCUGGAGAAGUCUUGGUAGCCGUAACUGGGGUCCUCAAAGUGCCUCGAGACAUCCCUGGACGGCACACACUCCUCAUCUUCUGCGGGAAAAUCACAAGCACAAGUGUACAGACGUCAAACCCAGGUCAGAUCCCCUAAUACCUGCUGUGGCCACAAGCAUGCUUGCCGUCUUCUCCCGCUCGAAGCGCGUGGCCAUCUCUUCCUGACUGGCCUCCUCUUCAUCACGACACUCCUGUAGCUGCUUCAUCCUCUCCAUCAACACUUCCACCUCGCCUGACUCCUCCAUCUCCUUUGAACAUGCACACACAGGGAUAUUGAUCCAUGUUUACAAUGACAUACAAGGCCAAGGACAGAGUUACUGUUCCAGCAGUUACAAUGACAGCUAAACAAACAGAUCUGAAGAAGUGUGAUCUAGCUCUUACCUGCUGGUUUCCCACCAUAUCUUCCAGAGCACUGUUGCCGUUGGCAAUGUCACACAUGCAGUAGCUGCUGAGCGAGGGAGGUCUGAAAGUGUGUCCUCCUUCAGCGUGAAUGUCAGGCGUGAUCCCACAGCCGGAGGUGAACGAGGCCAAAGAGUGGUAGUGUGUGAGUAGCACCACAGCAUGGAUCAGCUCAGCUAAAGACCAACUGUGCUCCUCUGUCCUCAGUAGAUUCUAUUAAAUCAGCAACAGUGAUUAAGUACAGGGAUUAAUUCAAGUGUUAUCUUGUCUGUGAACGAUAUACUCCUUUAGUGACCUUAUCUUAGUAAUACUAGGCAUAUCAACACAUGACAAAACAUUAAACUGGCUACAGUUUUAUGUACGUUUAUGAUUACAAAUUCUACCUCCAACAGUUAGAUUUUAGUGUUUCUGUCAUUCAACAUAGGGCUAAAUGUCCUUCAUUGACUUGAAAUCGUAUGAAGGUCAUCAAAAUGAAUCAACCAAUUAACCAAAUCAACCUGCUUUAUGCAAUACCAGAUUGUGAUUAAACCCCAAUGACCAAACUCUCACUGCUGUUAUGUAAUACCUCAAUAUGCGUUUUUGUGAGCAGCCAUGGCCGGUGAGCCAGGAUCUUGUUGAGUUCUCCCAGGGCUCGUAGUUUCUGUGGGGCACCAUCGAGUCCAUUCAGCCACUUGGGGUCACCCCCAACCUGCAGGAAAUCAUUCACGUGCAGAUUGACCAAGUAAGAACACUGGUGCCUGGCAGCAGCCUGAAAGAGAGCAAGAGAAUGAGCACAGGAACACGUUUAGACAUGUUAGCUGCUGGUUUCUUUUUUUAAGUGCUUUGGGAUUAAGAAUACCAUCUUUAAUUUCCAUCUUACCAUUAUGCCAAUGUAGUGCCUGUAUUGGUGGGACAAGGGUCCAUCCAUCUGAAGCAGGUAAUGCUGCGUCCUCAGGAAGCAGUCCAGAUACUGAGGAUGGAAACCCAUCACCAGGCAGACAUUAUCGAGCCGGCCAUGCGAAAAGGCGUCCUUGAAUAUCGACUGCGUUCUGGUGUCCACUUUGCUGACUUGAAGGAUCUGGGGAGGACAAAACAAAAUUUGAGAUCAAAUGGAGAAAAUGUUCAUUUCAGUAAUGAAAUCGAAUUAAAACCAGUGUGAUGUCAAUGGAAGAAGUCAAACCUCUUGCUCUGGGAUGAAUCUGCUUGGUCCGUUUCCCACUGGCCUGGGGAUUCGCACUCCCAUGUCCUGUGCAUGAAUAAAUAAAAAAGGGGGAAGAGAGAGAGAGAUGUGUUAAGACUCUUUUUUAAAAAAUAAAACGUUGUCACUUUUCUGCAAGCAUCUUGAAGAAGAUCCACACCCUGUCUGAUCUGUUGAGCUGAAAAAUGGACAGCACGAUUUAACUAAGGAAAAGAAAGAAAAACAACCCAUGCAGGAUUAAAGAGAUCUUUGUGACGCUUUGGUAAGGAACAAAAGGUAAUGGGCUAGGUAAUAUCAUGUGUCACCUAAUGUAAGCAAUGUGAAAUGUGUCUUCAGGCUAGUGAGUUAAAAAAAAAAGAAGCUUUUUUCCCCCUUUUAUUGUUACAACACUAUUGUAGCUGACGAUGUUCUUGCUCUGACUGAAUGAAUGACCUUUCACUGAUUUUAUUGAAGUCUGAAAUCUGCAAAAAUUAGGUACUGACACCUUCAUGUCAUGGCAUAAAGCAGGACAAAGUCCUUUUGCAAUAAAGAUGAGGAAAAAAGAAAACCAUGCAUAAACAAGGCAGUGGGCUACAGAGAGAGAGAGAGAGAGAGAGAGAGAGAGAGAGAGAAUCGUAUUAGUGAAAAACAACUUGCGUGACAAUCUCAACCCGUGCAACAAAAACCGGACAAAAAUUUUCAACCCGACCUGCGUUUUUUUUCUCCCUUACCUUUUUACUAAGCUGUUCGCAGUGUGUGCAGAUUUUCAACAAGGCUGACACUGUUAGAGAAGAGUUUUUCACAGGUUCGUUAUCUGCAGACGCGUGUCUCAUCUUGUGCACUUUUUUCCUUAUUUGAAAAGUUUCUGUUCUUGUUUUUAGUUUUAACUCCGUCUUUUUGUUCCUUGAGGCAUUGACACUUCCCCCCCUUUUUCCCCUUCUUUUCAGCCAGCUAUUGGAGCUCCAGAGCAGAAUGACCCCCUCUACUGCUCCAGCCGAGCUAAAUAAGAAGGCGGUGUUGGAGUGACGCAGCAACCAGCCAGUCAUCUUACGAAAACAUCAUCACAUCAGCCAAUCACUGUGCUGUGGGCGGGGCUCGUCAGAGCGAGCUGGCCAUGCUACAGAUAUGACAACCUGGAACCUGCUGAGCUCUGCAAAUCUGAAGUAUGGCACCGCUUCAACAGACUGAGCAACACUAACUGCACUUUGUGAUAAGAAUCCGAUAGCGCAGCAGCCUUUUACUCCCUUCAUGGCUCCAUCAGUCAACAAGGCCAUGCUUACAUCUAUCCCAUGAUGACCAGCCUUGAGUGACUAUUACUUCUGUAAGAGUUUAUCCAGAA